rnacentral:rRNA from 1 species
GGACUACCAGGGUAUCUAAUCCUGUUUGCUCCCCACGCUUUCGCGUCUCAGCGUCAGUCCCUGGCCAGCGGGCCGCCUUCGCCACUGGUGUUCCUCCCGAUAUCUACGAAUUUCACCUCUACACCGGGAAUUCCGCCCGCCUCUCCAGCACUCCAGCGCCGUCGUUUCGGGUGCGCGUCCGGGGUUGAGCCCCGGGCUUUCACACCCGACGCGCGGCGCCGCCUACACGCGCUUUACGCCCAGUGAUUCCGAGCAACGUUCGCACCCUCUGUCUUACCGCGGCGGCUGGCAC